ACGCACGCUGGCGGCGUGCUUAACACAUGCCCGUCGAACGGAAAGGCCCCUUUGGGGGUACUCGAGUGGCGAACGGGUGAGUAACACGUGAGUAACCUGCCCUUGACUUCGGGAUAACUUCAGGAAACUGGGGCUAAUACCGGAUAGGAAUCCUUGCUGCAUGGUGGGGGUUGGAAAGCUUCGGCGGUUUUGGAUGGACUCGCGGCUUAUCAGCUUGUUGGUGGGGUAGUGGCUUACCAAGGCUUUGACGGGUAGCCGGCCUGAGAGGGCGACCGGCCACAUUGGGACUGAGAUACGGCCCAGACUCCUACGGGAGGCAGCAGUGGGGAAUAUUGCACAAUGGGCGGAAGCCUGAUGCAGCAACGCCGCGUGCGGGAUGACGGCCUUCGGGUUGUAAACCGCUUUCAGCAGGGGCGAAGCUUGUGGUGACGGUACCUGCAGAAGAAGCACCGGCUAACUACGUG
rnacentral:rRNA from 1 species